rnacentral:rRNA from 1 species
AAAACAUGUCCUUUUGAUAAUAAUUUAAGGUCGUGCCUGCCCUAUGAUGAUUUAAAUGUGCCGCGGUAUUUUGACCGUGCAAAGGUAGCAUAAUCAUUAGUUUUUUAAUUGAAAGCUGGAAUGAAUGGUUUUAUGAAAAAUAAGAUGUUUCAUUGUAAUUGAUUUAUAAUUUUAAUUUUAAGUAAAAAAGCUUAAAUGUUUUAAAAAGACGAGAAGACCCUAUAGAGUUUAAUUGUGCUUGGUAUUAAAAUAAUUGGUUUUUAUAAUUUUUAAUUUUAAAUACAAUUUUAUUGGGGUGAUAUAGAAAUUUAAUAAACUUUUUAUUUAUUUGAACAUAAAUUUAUGAUAGUUUGAUCCUUUAUUAAAGAUUGAAAGAAAAAAUUACCUUAGGGAUAACAGCGUAAUAUUUUUGGAGAGUUCUUAUCGAUAAAAGUGAUUGCGACCUCGAUGUUGGAUUAAAAUUUAUUUAUGGUGUAGAAGCUGUAAUAUUAGGUCUGUUCGACCUUUAAAAUUUUACAUGAUCU